UACGUAGGGGGCUAGCGUUGUCCGGAAUCAUUGGGCGUAAAGCGCGCGUAGGCGGCCCGGUAAGUCCGCUGUAAAAGUCAAAGGCUCAACCUUUGAAGGUCAGUGGAUACUGCCGGGCUAGAGUCCGGAAGAGGCGAGUGGAACUCCUGGUGUAGCGGUGGAAUGCGCAGAUAUCAGGAAGAACACCGACGGCGAAGGCAGCUCGCUGGGACGGUACUGACGCUGGAGGCGCGAAAGCGUGGGGAGCGAACAGG
rnacentral:rRNA from 1 species